GGGGGAAGGGGAGUUUUUAUAAGGAGUAUGGCACGGAACCCCAAGGCGGCUAUUAAAUACUUGAGGUGGGCCCAGGCGUGAAAAGGCGUGCAACGUUUCAAAUAUCAAGAAGUGACUGUACGGCUUCCACAGACAGUUCAUCAUUAUCUGUCAUGACCGUUCAAGUCCUGACCUUUCAAGUCUCCAAUCAUAAAUAUGUUAUGAUUGGAGACUGGGGGGCAAUGUUCGGGAGCAUUUUAUCGACCCUCCAUUGAGCCGAAGAUUCAAUACCAGAAGGGCUGGAGAGACCGAUGGGCCGAAGCCCAUGAAGGUGUUGGAGGUGUUCGGGUCGGCAUUUGAGCCCCCCGGGACCAUAGCCGAACUUGGUCUUAUGAUGUUCGAGGUCGGGUCUUCGAGUUCUUUGGGCCGAAACCCAGGUUAGAUUAUAGGACCAUUUGGGCCUGCACAGUGGGCUCUCCUGCGUGCAGAGUCCGGGUACCUAUUCAUAUGCAUAUAAGGUAACUCCAAAGGUGGUGAUGAGAUUGGACUCUACUUGCACCUUUUAAGGAGAUGGCGUUGGACCCAAGUUAUGGUAAUUACCAUAUACUA
rnacentral:lncRNA from 1 species